rnacentral:rRNA from 1 species
GAUGAACGCUGGCCGCGUGCCUAAUACAUGCAAGUCGAGCGAACGGACGAGAAGCUUGCUUCUCUGAUGUUAGCGGCGGACGGGUGAGUAACACGUGGAUAACCUACCUAUAAGACUGGGAUAACUUCGGGAAACCGGAGCUAAUACCGGAUGAUAUUUUGAACCGCAUGGUUCAAAAGUGAAAGACGGUCUUGCUGUCACUUAUAGAUGGAUCCGCGCUGCAUUAGCUAGUUGGUAAGGUAACGGCUUACCAAGGCAACGAUGCAUAGCCGACCUGAGAGGGUGAUCGGCCACACUGGAACUGAGACACGGUCCAGACUCCUACGGGAGGCAGCAGUAGGGAAUCUUCCGCAAAGGGCGAAAGCCUGACGGAGCAACGCCGCGUGAGUGAUGAAGGUCUUCGGAUCGUAAAACUCUGUUAUUAGGGAAGAACAUAUGUGUAAGUAACUGUGCACAUCUUGACGGUACCUAAUCAGAAAGCCACGGCUAACUACGUG